ACCGAGUACCAGCAAGGAUUUCGACUUUGACUCGGUAUUGAAAUAUCCAUUCCACUUAAUAGCCAACUUCAUGGACCUAGAUGUAAACUUGCAACAGCCGGAGCAGAGGGCGGAAAGUAUUUCGUCACCCAAGCCCAGUGCCCGUGCAAAUUAAAAUGUGAUUAAAACGAGUUUGAUGCUGGAUGGUGUUCCAUGAGAACCAGAUAACAGAGUGCUUUCCUGGUAUCCGUCGCUUAAAGGGGGUCGUGCCCGAUGACGAUUACAAACCCGACUGGCGCAUGUCGUUUCAUGUCGACCAACACUUGCGGCUGUCAUGUUCCGGACGUACAUGUUAUUCUUGCUCUACAUCUAGGCAGAUGGGGAGCAGUAUCCGAAGACACUUGGGUCAAACGGCAUGUAUCCUGCGUUCUGUGUCGGCAUAAAGCGUCCAGAUAUAGCAAUCGUACAAACGUCCAGAUCUAGCAAUCGUACCGCAUGAUGGAGACUACUGGCGACCUGUAGAGCCUUUACUUUGUUGGAAAUGUGCUUGCGCUGCUUGCCCACAACAUGAUUAUUCUAACCAUCGCUGCAGUCGUCAUGGCAAGUCCUAUUCUAACUUUAUUAUUUUUCCAUACUUGAACUUAGUUGACCCCAAGUACUAUUAAGCCGUUAACUUCUUCCAGCUCCUCGCCGUUCAUGGUGAUGUCUGCACUUGUGUUGCUCGUGCUGUUCACCAUGUUGUUCGACUUCUCUGUGUUGACUCCCAUCCCUUAUUCUACUGCUCGUUUAUAGUCUGCUGGAGAGCUCUUAGAGUAUUUGAAACCCGAUUUUUGCAGUGUAUUUUAAAAUAAUCAAAUUGCAUGUAAACAAAUCUCGUGAUUAUUUGAAAACAAUUUAAAAUCAUUAGGGCUUCGUGCAAGCUGACAAGCGCACAUGCAACCCACCGACCCACCAUAGGUUAAUUGUUUCGUAAUUUAUAAGGCCAGCAUUUGUUUUACGGCAAAUUGUCAA